rnacentral:lncRNA from 1 species
AUGUGGGCUCCAAGAGGUCACGGGAGCCGAGAAGUGUCCCUCAGGAGGGCAGAGGAGAGGCAGGCAGUGGGGUGCUAUCUGAUGGUGAACGCCCUGGGCACCCCUGCAGGCAGAGGCCAAGUGUGGCAGAGAGGCCAGGUGUGGCAGAGGCCAGGUAGGGCGGCUUUGCAAACCCUCACCGGACGUUCUGCACUGUGCUUCCGAAAAGCCACAGGAGCUUCCCGCGAACGGCCGCGGCGCGGUUGCAGGUGGCGACAGCCCAGAAGGCCCCUGCAGCGUGCGCGUCGGACGGGCUUCCCAGGCGGGUGCUGGCGGCGGAGCGCACCGGAGUCCUGGUCCCGCCACGGCCGCUCCCUGGCGGCCCCCGCUGGCCGCGUCCCCUAGCCCCACGGCGCCCACCCCGCUCGGCGCGCACAAGUUCCUGCAGGUCUCUCGUGCCAGGCGCAGGGGAGCCUCUUCGCGGCGUGGCCCCGCUGGGUUCCGGCUUUAAAACAGAAAGGUUCAUUGUCCCGAGGUCCCCGGGCCGGUCUAACCGCUGCAGAAACUCCCCGACGCCCCGCCCCACGCCGAACGGCCCGGCGGCCUGGCCGGAGAAGCCGGGACCGGGAGCGGGAGCCGGGCAGGCAGGCCUAGCUAGAGAGGCAAGGCUGGUGUGGGUUUUUUGUUUUACCUUUUUUUUUUUUGAGAUGAGGUCUCGCUCUGUCGCUCAGGCUGGAGUGCAGUGGAGCGAUCUUGGCUCACUGCAACCUCUGCCUCCCGGGUUCAAGCCAUUCUCCUGCCUCAGCCUCCCGACUAGCUGGGAUUACAGGCGCCCGCCACCAGGCCCGGCUAAUUUUUGUAUUUUUAGUAGAGACGCGGUUUCACCAUAUUGGCCAGGCUGGUCUCGAACUCCUGACCUCAAGUGAUCCACCCGCCUUGUCCUCUCAAAGUGCUGGGAUUACAGGCGUGAACCGCCGCGCCGGCCUGGGUGAAUUUUCUGUGUACGGAAGGGAGGCAGCACCGGAACCCCUCCUGUUCCCUUGCGUUCGCCGUAAGCACCGCGGACACUGCCACCUGACCGCGGGCUGGGGGGAAGCAGCCGGAAA